UCGAAAAAAAAUUUUCAAAUUCAAUUAAAUAAGUUGUUCUCAGACGGUCUCUUAGAACUUAUUUGAUUUGGCCAUAACUCAAUUUUCAUAACUUAAUAUUCAUAACUCAAACUCAAAACCUAUAACUUAUAAUCCAAUCCUCACUUUCUCGCAAAAACUUCAAAAUGCUUGUUUAGUUACAUAACUCAGCCACAUAAUUCAUACUUUUUGCCAAAAGCGUGAAACCCACCCACUGACACCACACAGUGGGCUUAUGGUUGCUACCCUCGUGGAUUUUCUUUUACCUCUCACCGAAAUUUUCUCCCAUCAGAGCACGCCUGUCUUCCCCGAAAAGACCCAAACCCCACAAGCCAAAAGCAUAGCAAUCACCUCCCAAUCCAACGUCGGUGAAGAUCGAGAACAGAUCGUCGCCUGGGACCGGUGAAGAUUACUCUGGAGUUCGCUACAAUUAUCGUUGCACUUGCUGAACCACCGUUUAACGUAAUUUUCUCAUGACCCUUUGGCUCCGUCUCUCUUGCCCUGUUUGGGGAAGUUUUAGGAUCAACCUAAGGAAUAGUUUGGGCCUACUUCGCCUCUGAAAAAACAACGAGAUUUUGGGUUCAGUGCUUCGGUUCAUCAUCUCAAAUGUUGUUGGGAAUGAAGUGUAGGCAAAAUGUGAAAGGAGGCGGAGAGAGGGAAGUGGGAAAGAGGGUAAAGUGAUGCUGAAAAUUUGGGGGAAGAAAUGAACUGAAAUGAAGCAAAUGCAAUGGUAAUAUCAAAGGACUGAAACUAAUUUGAUAAUUCACUGCAAAUGAAUCCCACAAAGUCACACUAUUUACCAAAUUGCCACUGAAACUCAGUUUUUAACUUUUGAAAACACAAAUUUUUUGUUCCUAAUUU